UGGCCCGGGCAGUGCCGGGUGACACGUGCGGUUUGUUUCUCUCCACAGAGGGAGGCCGCCCAGGAGCGCCUCGCCACUCCUCCCGUGAUGCUCUGCGUGGGAAAGGCCGGCGACAGUUGACGCCCGGGGUUCUCUCAGAACGGCGGAGUUGACUAAGUUUGACCCUUCCCGGCCACACUCGUGAGGCUCGGGCUGGGCUCGCCGAGAGGAGCUUUCCUUCUCCCUCAAGUCCGCUUCUGAGGAGAAAAGAUGCUUAGUGAUUUUGAAGGAGUUUCUCUUUCAAUUCACCAUCUAGGUUUUGUUGUUUUUCCCCCAGAAAAAAAAAAUUGUUCCCCGGAAGUAGACUGAACAUAAAGUUAUGUUUGCAUUUUAGCGUUUAAUUUGAAUUAUCCCAGCUGGAAAUGUAAUUCUCUUUCAAAGAAUCUAAGCACCGUGGUGGAAUAAAACACUUUUCUCAGUGGACGUCGGUGGCAGUACCUUUCGUGGCCCGGGUCCCUAAAGUGUCUUACCAGUUGGAAGCCUGUUCCCCCAACGCUGGAAGGCUGAGGCAGGAGGAUGAAGAAUUGGAGGGCAGCCUACAAUAGGCAGCGUUUCACUGUCCUAAUUUGGGGAGGACAAGGGGGAGCAGGAACACAGGGGUAUGCGUACCAAGUGCCCAUGGAAGUCAGAAAAAAGUGUUGACUGCCCUGGAACUGGAGUUACAGAUGGCUGUGAACCACCAGGCUCCUCCACGUUGCCAAGAUGAAGAAGGAGGAAUGUGACUUGACAUCUCUGAGAGUCACAGGGUAUGCCCUCAUACCCUGGAGCUCCGGUUCACCUGGAAAUCAGCUUUCGUGUGUGAAGCAGACGUUGUGUGGACACCGCCUCAUUUCAAAACUCCAACAAGCCAGACCUGUGCGCUACCCUGCUGGUGUCCUAUCCACGGCUGUCUGAGCUGGAACUGAGCCACCAGCACUGCUUUACAAAGUUUAGGUGUUUCUGUAUUGUGUCAGGUUGGUGAUUGAAACUUACCUUCACAGACCCUUCUUGAGUCCUGCGAUCGGUACACCCUGCUUUCUGCUUGCUCCUCCCCCUCACCAUUUUCAUCUUAUUGAAGGUUUCUCAGUGGAGCCCUGGCUGUCCUUGAAUUCUCUUUGUAUAUCAGGCUGGCAUCAAACUCAGAGACUCACCUUCCUCUGUUUUCUGAGUCCUAGGAUCAAAGGCAUGUACCACCAUACCCAGCAGAUAUCAUUUACUAAAAGAAAUGUUUCACAGUUGAAAUUGACAGGUGUUCUGCCUACAUGUAAGUCUGUAUGAGGACGUUGAUCCCCCAGAGCUGGAGUUACAGACAAUGUGAGUUGGUAUGU